ACGAACGCUGGCGGCGUGCUUAACCCAUGCAGGUCGAACGAAGAGCGAUGGAAGCUUGCUUCUAUCAAUCUUAGUGGCGAACGGGUGAGUAACGCGUAAUCAACCUGCCCUUCAGAGGGGGACAACAGUUGGAAACGACUGCUAAUACCGCAUACGAUCUAAUCUCGGCAUCGAGGAUAGAUGAAAGGUGGCCUCUACAUGUAAGCUAUCACUGAAGGAGGGGAUUGCGUCUGAUUAGCUAGUUGGAGGGGUAACGGCCCACCAAGGCGAUGAUCAGUAGCCGGUCUGAAGGGAUGGACGGCCACAUUGGGACUGAGACACGGCCCAGACUCCUACGGGAGGCAGCAGUGGGGAAUCUUCCGCAAUGGACGGAAGUCUGACGGAGCAACGCCGCGUGAGUGAUGACGGCCUUCGGGUUGUAAAGCUCUGUUAAUCGGGACGAAAGGCCUUCUUGCGAACAGUUAGAAGGAUUGACGGUACCGGAAUAGAAAGCCACGGCUAACUACGUG
rnacentral:rRNA from 1 species